GACGAACGCUGGCGGCGUGCUUAACACAUGCAAGUCGAACGGAAAGGCCCUGCUUGCAGGGUACUCGAGUGGCGAACGGGCGAGUAACACGUGGGUGAUCUGCCCUGCACUUCGGGUUAAGCCUGGGAAACUGGGUCUAAUACCGGCUAGGUGCCAUAUUUAGUGUGAUGGUUGGAAAGUUUUUUCGGUGUAGGGUGAGCUCGCGGGCUAUCAGCUUGUUGGUGGGGUAAUGGCCUACCAAGGCGGCGGCGGGUAGCCGGACUGAGGGGGUGGACGGCCACAUAGGGACUGAGAGGCGGCCCAGGCUCCUACGGGAGGCAGCAGGGGGGAAUAUUGCACAAUGGGCGCAAGCCUGAUGAAGCGACGCCGCGUGGGGGAUGACGGCCUUCGGGUGGUAAACUCCUUUCGCUAGGGACGAAGCUUUUUGUGACGGUACCUAGAUAAGAAGCACCGGCUAACUACGUG
rnacentral:rRNA from 1 species